rnacentral:rRNA from 1 species
UACGUAGGGGGCAAGCGUUAUCCGGAAUUAUUGGGCGUAAAGGGCUCGUAGGCGGUUUGUCGCGUCGGGAGUGAAAUCCACUGGCUUAACUGGUGGCUUGCUUUCGAUACGGGCAGACUGGAGGUAUGCAGGGGAGAACGGAAGUUCCUGGUGUAGCGGUGAAAUGCGCAGAUAUCAGGAGGAACACCGGUGGCGAAGGCGGCAUCCUGGACCGGUAUUGACGCUGAGGCGCGAAAGCCAGGGGAGCAAACGGG